UACGGGGGGGGCAAGCGUUGUUCGGAAUUACUGGGCGUAAAGCGCGCGUAGGCGGCUUUUCAAGUCAGACGUGAAAGCCCCAGGCUUAACCUGGGAAUUGCGUUUGAUACUGUUAGGCUAGAGUGUGGAAGGGGCUACUGGAAUUCCGUGUGUAGCGGUGAAAUUCGUAGAUAUUGGGAAGAACACCGGUGGCGAAGGCGGCUCUCUGGACCGAUACUGACGCUGAGGCGCGAAAGCGUGGGGAGCAAACAGG
rnacentral:rRNA from 1 species